rnacentral:tRNA from 1 species
CGGGCGGCGGCCCGGGCCUGAGGCGGCGGGCGGCGCCGCGAGCGCCGUCGGCGCCGCGCCCCGCCGGGUGUCACGGCGGGGCGCGGCCACCGCGUCCGCC